GGGACACGUGGUAUCCUGUCUGAAUAUGGGGGGACCAUCCUCCAAGGCUAAAUACUCCUGACUGACCGAUAGUGAACCAGUACCGUGAGGGAAAGGCGAAAAGAACCCCGGCGAGGGGAGUGAAAAAGAACCUGAAACCGUGUACGUACAAGCAGUGGGAGCACGCUUAGGCGUGUGACUGCGUACCUUUUGUAUAAUGGGUCAGCGACUUAUAUUCUGUAGCAAGGUUAACCGAAUAGGGGAGCCGAAGGGAAACCGAGUCUUAACUGGGCGUUAAGUUGCAGGGUAUAGACCCGAAACCCGGUGAUCUAGCCAUGGGCAGGUUGAAGGUUGGGUAACACUAACUGGAGGACCGAACCGACUAAUGUUGAAAAAUUAGCGGAUGACUUGUGGCUGGGGGUGAAAGGCCAAUCAAACCGGGAGAUAGCUGGUUCUCCCCGAAAGCUAUUUAGGUAGCGCCUCGUGAAUUCAUCUCCGGGGGUAGAGCACUGUUUCGGCAAGGGGGUCAUCCCGACUUACCAACCCGAUGCAAACUGCGAAUACCGGAGAAUGUUAUCACGGGAGACACACGGCGGGUGCUAACGUCCGUCGUGAAGAGGGAAACAACCCAGACCGCCAGCUAAGGUCCCAAAGUCAUGGUUAAGUGGGAAACGAUGUGGGAAGGCCCAGACAGCCAGGAUGUUGGCUUAGAAGCAGCCAUCAUUUAAAGAAAGCGUAAUAGCUCACUGGUCGAGUCGGCCUGCGCGGAAGAUGUAACGGGGCUAAACCAUGCACCGAAGCUGCGGCAGCGACGCUUAUGCGUUGUUGGGUAGGGGAGCGUUCUGUAAGCCUGCGAAGGUGUGCUGUGAGGCAUGCUGGAGGUAUCAGAAGUGCGAAUGCUGACAUAAGUAACGAUAAAGCGGGUGAAAAGCCCGCUCGCCGGAAGACCAAGGGUUCCUGUCCAACGUUAAUCGGGGCAGGGUGAGUCGACCCCUAAGGCGAGGCCGAAAGGCGUAGUCGAUGGGAAACAGGUUAAUAUUCCUGUACUUGGUGUUACUGCGAAGGGGGGACGGAGAAGGCUAUGUUGGCCGGGCGACGGUUGUCCCGGUUUAAGCGUGUAGGCUGGUUUUCCAGGCAAAUCCGGAAAAUCAAGGCUGAGGCGUGAUGACGAGGCACUACGGUGCUGAAGCAACAAAUGCCCUGCUUCCAGGAAAAGCCUCUAAGCAUCAGGUAACAUCAAAUCGUACCCCAAACCGACACAGGUGGUCAGGUAGAGAAUACCAAGGCGCUUGAGAGAACUCGGGUGAAGGAACUAGGCAAAAUGGUGCCGUAACUUCGGGAGAAGGCACGCUGAUACGUAGGUGAAGUCCCUCGCGGAUGGAGCUGAAAUCAGUCGAAGAUACCAGCUGGCUGCAACUGUUUAUUAAAAACACAGCACUGUGCAAACACGAAAGUGGACGUAUACGGUGUGACGCCUGCCCGGUGC
rnacentral:rRNA from 1 species